rnacentral:rRNA from 1 species
UAGCGGAGGGUGCAAGCGUUACGUCCGGAUUCACUGGGUUUAAAGGGUGCGUAGGUGGGCUGGUAAGUCAGUGGUGAAAUCUCCAGGCUUAACUUGGAAACUGCCAUUGAUACUAUCAGUCUUGAAUACCGUGGAGGUCAGCGGAAUAUGUCAUGUAGCGGUGAAAUGCUUAGAUAUGACAUAGAACACCAAUUGCGAAGGCAGCUGGCUACACGAAUAUUGACACUGAUGCACGAAAGCGUGGGGAUCAAACAG